rnacentral:rRNA from 1 species
UACGUAGGGGGCAAGCGUUGUCCGGAUUUAUUGGGCGUAAAGAGCGUGUAGGCGGCCUGAAAGGUCAGCUGUGAAAACUCGAGGCUCAACCUCGAGACGUCGGUUGAAACCAUCUGGCUAGAGUCCGGAAGAGGAGAGUGGAAUUCCCGGUGUAGCGGUGAAAUGCGCAGAUAUCGGGAAGAACACCCGUGGCGAAGGCGGCUCUCUGGGACGGUACUGGACGCUGAGACGCGAAAGCGUGGG